rnacentral:rRNA from 1 species
UACGUAGGGUGCAAGCGUUGUCCGGAAUUAUUGGGCGUAAAGAGCUCGUAGGCGGUCUGUCACGUCGGACGUGAAAAUCCAGGGCUCAACCCUGGACCUGCGUUCGAUACGGGCAGACUAGAGUUCGGUAGGGGAGACUGGAAUUCCUGGUGUAGCGGUGAAAUGCGCAGAUAUCAGGAGGAACACCGAUGGCGAAGGCAGGUCUCUGGGCCACUACUGACGCUGAGAAGCGAAAGCGUGGGGAGCGAACAGG